UGAAGUGGGGAAAUGUUCCAUGUGAACAUCACUUGGACAUGGUCAGUUAGUCAAUCCUAAGAGAUGGGGAAUCCUUGUAUCAAGGGUGCACUCUGCAUGAACAUCAAAAGACAAUUGGGUUAAUAUUCCCGAACCGGGACAUGGUGGUGGACAAAAUGUUAGGAAAUCUGGAGAUGUCAUCGAGGGCCUGGGAAGAGUUAUCUUUUCUUUUUAACGACUUUCCCACCCUGAAAUCAAUUCAACUAGAUAUAGGGUCCAACAUCUAAAAGAGAACCACACGUCUUGCGGUUUUUGGUGCCCCCUUGGCGGCCAUUGUAAAUACGGUGAACCGAGUACCAUCCAUGCCCGCUCAUACUCAUAUAUGCCUCCUUGGAUUUUUCAAUGUCCACUA
rnacentral:ncRNA from 1 species